UGGCACUUGGAAUGAACUGGUUCCCUACCACAUUAGGGAAUCGCUAAAUGCUUUAGGAUGGCUGGCAUCUGCGGAGCUGUUCUCCCAGGCCUGGCCCUGCAGUUAUUAUUCUGGAGUUAGUGCUGCGAUCUGUGUGUUACAAAAAUAGAAUCCAAGGCCAAGAGAAGUUGGAAAUAACUUUCUGAAAUUCGAAUCUGAAACCUAGAAUCCCCUGGAUCACAGAUUAUUGUGCUAACCAUCCACUCUACCACUUGAGGCCACUACAGCUAAGUUUUACAUUCACCUUUUCAUCUCAAGUUUUGGAAGAGUGGUUUCCCAAUGUGAACGUAAACGAACCUCAUUUGGUGGAGAACAAAUGAUACAGCAUUUGGGGAAGUGAAGCCACACCUUCCCUCUUGAUGCAGACCACAGUGCUCCUUCUGUUUUGGGAAUUCCCAGCUUACCGCCUCAGGGAGGUGUACACCAUGACAUUGGCCAUGCUGGUGCUCUGAGAGAAUUCAAUCAAAUGAUGAAUUUGGCAUCUUUAUCUCAAUCUGCUCUUCCAUUUUCUUCAAAGAGCUUUAGGAUUGCAUCUAAUAGGGUUAGCAAACCUCUUGUAUAGAGGGCAGGCCUGUGCACGUGUUCAGGUUUUG
rnacentral:lncRNA from 1 species